rnacentral:rRNA from 1 species
UCUGCGUGAAUAAAGUGUGCAGUCUGGCCUGCCCCCUGAAAAUUUAAAGGGCCGCGGUAUCUGAACCGUGCUAAGGUAGCAUAAUCAAUAGUCUUUUAAUUGAGGUCUAGUAUGAAUGGUCGGACAGGAGGUAAGCUGUCUUAGGUGUUUGGCUGAAUUUUACUUUUAAGUGAAAAGGCUUAGAUUGAAUGGUGGGACGAUAAGACCCUAUAAAGCUUUACAUAUCAGCUAUUGGCUGACAGAGAUUAGGGUGUUUUGACCUAGUUAGGUGGUAUGUUUCGUUGGGGCGACGGAAAUAUAAAUCUGUAACUGUUUUCAUUAUUAAAAUAUUCGUUUUUAGAAAAUUUGAUCCUUUUUAGAGAUUAGGAGAUUAAAGUUACUUUAGGGAUAACAGCGUAAUCCUUCUUGAGAGUCCAUAUCGACGGAAGUAGUUGCGACCUCGAUGUUGAAUUAAGGUGUCGUCAAGGUGUAGCAGUCUUGAUGGUAGGUCUGUUCGACCUUUAAAGC